rnacentral:rRNA from 1 species
GGACGAACGCUGGCGGCGUGCUUAACACAUGCAAGUCGAACGGAAAGGCCUGCUUUCCCUUGUGGAUUGCGGGUACUCGAGUGGCGAACGGGUGAGUAACACGUGAGUGAUCUGCCCCCAACUUGGGUAUAAGCCUGGGAAACUGGGUCUAAUUCCCGAUAGGACUGCAGGGUGGUGCCUGUGGUGGAAAACGAUUUUCUAGUGGUUGGGGAUGAGCUCGCGGCCUAUCAGCUUGUUGGUGGGGUAAUGGCCUACCAAGGCGGCGACGGGUAGCCGGCCUGAGAGGGUGGACGGCCACAUUGGGACUGAGAUACGGCCCAGACUCCUACGGGAGGCAGCAGUGGGGAAUAUUGCACAAUGGGCGGAAGCCUGAUGCAGCGACGCCGCGUGGGGGAUGACGGCCUUCGGGUUGUAAACUCCUUUCGACCGCGAGGAAGCCACCUGGUUGGAAGGGUGGUGACGGUAGUGGUAGAAGAAGCACCGGCUAACUACGUG